UGCAGUCGAACGGAAAGGCCCUUCGGGGUACUCGAGUGGCGAACGGGUGAGUAACACGUGGGUGAUCUGCCCUGCACUUUGGGAUAAGCCUGGGAAACUGGGUCUAAUACCGAAUAGGACUACGCGAUGCAUGUCGUGUGGUGGAAAGCUUUUGCGGUGUGGGAUGGGCCCGCGGCCUAUCAGCUUGUUGGUGAGGUUACGGCUCACCAAGGCGACGACGGGUAGCCGGCCUGAGAGGGUGACCGGCCACACUGGGACUGAGAUACGGCCCAGACUCCUACGGGAGGCAGCAGUGGGGAAUAUUGCACAAUGGGCGCAAGCCUGAUGCAGCGACGCCGCGUGAGGGAUGACGGCCUUCGGGUUGUAAACCUCUUUCGCCAGGGACGAAGCGCAAGUGACGGUACCUGGAGAAGAAGGACCGGCCAACUACGUGCCAGCAGCCGCGGUAAUACGUAGGGUCCGAGCGUUGUCCGGAAUUACUGGGCGUAAAGAGCUCGUAGGUGGUUUGUCGCGUUGUUCGUGAAAACUCACAGCUCAACUGUGGGCGUGCGGGCGAUACGGGCAGACUGGAGUACUGCAGGGGAGACUGGAAUUCCUGGUGUAGCGGUGGAAUGCGCAGAUAUCAGGAGGAACACCGGUGGCGAAGGCGGGUCUCUGGGCAGUAACUGACGCUGAGGAGCGAAAGCGUGGGGAGCGAACAGGAUUAGAUACCCUGGUAGUCCACGCCGUAAACGGUGGGUACUAGGUGUGGGUUUCCUUCCUUGGGAUCCGUGCCGUAGCUAACGCAUUAAGUACCCCGCCUGGGGAGUACGGCCGCAAGGCUAAAACUCAAAGAAAUUGACGGGGGCCCGCACAAGCGGCGGAGCAUGUGGAUUAAUUCGAUGCAACGCGAAGAACCUUACCUGGGUUUGACAUGCACAGGACGUGCCUAAAGAUAGGGAUUCCCUUGUGGCCGUGUG
rnacentral:rRNA from 1 species